rnacentral:rRNA from 1 species
UACGGGGGGAGCAAGCGUUGUUCGGAUUUACUGGGCGUAAAGGGCGCGUAGGCGGCGUGGUAAGUCACUUGUGAAAUCUCUGAGCUUAACUCAGAACGGCCAAGUGAUACUGCUGUGCUAGAGUGCAGAAGGGGCAAUCGGAAUUCCUGGUGUAGCGGUGAAAUGCGCAGAUAUCAGGAGGAACACCGAUGGCGAAAGCGAGCCUCUGGACAGUUACUGACGCUGAUGCACGAAGGCCAGGGGAGCAAACGGG